rnacentral:misc_RNA from 1 species
UCGUGCACGCCCGAGUGCCCUCACACACAUCCAUCUCACCCCUAUGUGCACCACCGCGUGGGUCCCCCUUUGGCUUGUUCGGAGGGGGGCUUACGUUUUCACACAAACUUUGUAUGCAGUGUAGAAUGUAUUUUUUGUUUUUGCGAUCACGCAAUCAAUACAACUUUCAACAACGGAUCUCUUGGCUCUCGCAUCGAUGAAGAACGCAGCGAAAUGCGAUACGUAAUGUGAAUUGCAGAAUUCAGUGAAUCAUCGAAUCUUUGAACGCACCUUGCGCCCCUUGGCAUUCCGAGGGGCACACCCGUUUGAGUGUCGUGAAAUUCUCAAAAACCUUUUUCUUUUUGGGAAAGGGUUUUUGGACUUGGAGGCUUUUUGCUGGCUUCACCUUGAAGUGAGCUCCUCCUAAAUGAAUCAGUGGGGUCCGCUUUGCCGAUCCUUGACGUGAUAAGAUGUUUCUGCGUCUUUGGGUUUGGCACUGUCACCUGCUUCUAACUGUCUCAUUGACAAUGAUGGUGCUCCGGUCACCACCGCUCUUAUCGGUGGGAGGCUUGACCCACAAAAACAAAACCUUGACCUCAAAUCGGGUGAGACUACCCGCUGAACUU